rnacentral:rRNA from 1 species
UGGGGGAUAUUGCACAAUGGGGGGAACCCUGAUGCAGCGACGCCGCGUGAGUGAAGGAGUACCCCGGUAUGUAAAGCUCUGUCAGCAGGGAAGAAAGUGACGGUACCUGACCAAGAAGCCCCGGCUAACUACGUGCCAGCAGCCGCGGUAAUACGUAGGGGGCAAGCGUUAUCCGGAUUUACUGGGUGUAAAGGGAGCGCAGACGGCCAUGCAAGUCCGGAGUGAAAGCCCGGGGCCCAACCCCGGGACUGCUCUGGAAACUGCAAGGCUCGAGUGCCGGAGGGGCAGGCGGAAUUCCUAGUGUAGCGGUGAAAUGCGUAGAUAUUAGGAGGAACACCAGUGGCGGAGGCGGCCUGCUGGACGGCAACUGACGUUGAGGCUCGAAAGCGUGGGGAGCAAACAGG